GGACUACCCGGGUUUCUAAUCCCGUUUGCUCCCCUGGCUUUCGCGCCUCAGCGUCAGAAGAGGUCCAGCACGUCGCUUUCGCCACCGGCGUUCCUUCCGAUAUCUACGCAUUUCACCGCUCCACCGGAAGUUCCACAUGCCCCUACCUCACUCAAGACGACCAGUAUCCAAGGCUAUUCCCCAGUUGAGCUGGGGGAUUUCACCCCGGACUUGGUCACCCGCCUACGCGCCCUUUAAGCCCAGUGAAUCCGAACAACGUUCGCACGGUUCGUCUUACCGCGGCGGCUGGCAC
rnacentral:rRNA from 1 species